GCAGAGCUGGGAUGCAGCUCCGUAGGGCCCUUCCCAUCAGCGCAGGCUGCACGUACGGAUGCUCCGCAGAGAUGCUCUUGCCUCCCCGCCUGCCCUGCCUCCAGAUGUUGCAUCAUUUCGCGGGCUACAAAGUAUCCAGUGCUCUUGAGGUACAAGAAACCCCCAAGCCUAACCCACAAAAAAGCAAGGUUACCGAGUCUCUACUGAAACCUCAAGGAGGAGAUCCUGUUCCCCAGCUGGAGAAGCAGCAGGGAGGAGGUGAGCUGGAUUUGUACAUCAUCAGCAAACCGCAUACCUGGCAAUGUAUAUGGCAAGUUGAACAAAGGGUCACCGCGUGUCACCCAGUCAGUCAGCAGAUGAACAAGCUGAGUGCACAAAAGUCCAGCCCAAAUUGGUGCUGCUUGCACCAGUUACAAACUCUACACCUCUGUAUAUGGAGCUCACAGUCCUGUUGGUGUCUACAAAUUUCAUGUGAUGAUCUACAGCCAGACCUCAUAACUGCCCAGUUGAGCCUGAGAAAGGAUUUUCAGCCCCAGUGCCUGUAGGAUGGUGGCUCUUACCACUGAUGUGUAGAACAGCACUGAAAUGUUCUUGCAUUAAAGAGCAUCAUUUCAAAACACCUAAAAAACCCCAGCUUGAUUCCAGUGUUGUACUCCUCCCGUCUGCUCUGCUUUGUCCUGGCUCUGUGGAUGCUGGGAGUAGAACCCAGCAACCAUCCCAGUACAGCCAAGGGAUGUCUCGGGCUCUGGUGUGGCACAUCGAAUCUCCCCUCCUUGGCCUGGCAGUCUCCUGGCACUCUCUGCCAUGCCAGUGCCUUACCCAGCUCCUGCCUGCUCCUGUGCUUCAUCCUCGGCUCCUUUUGCAACAACAGAGGAACAUAAAAGGAGGGAAGGAAGAGAAAUAACACCUGAAUAUUGUGUCUUCUAAUUAGGCUGGCAGUGAUCAAACAGCUUCUCAGGAGCACACGGUAUAAGGUUUGCUGGCACAGGGCUUUCCAGCCAUGCCCAUUAUUGCCAGAGGAAAAGCAAGUUCCACCCUUGUGGGAUCUCAUGUGGUCUCCUGAGGUCACAGAGCAGCCUUAACUGAUCCAGAAAGACCUGGAGGAAGAAGGUGAAAUCCAAAUUCCUUCCCCACCUUUGCUGAUGGUGUCCUCACGGUAAAGGGACUUGUAGCAACUUCAGCUGCACAAGCUGUUCCUGUGAUGUUGUUGUAUAAAUAUGUUUUAUGUAUAAAUAUGCAUUUGAAUCCGUGUUUGGACUCAAACCUGUCUGUUCAUCCAGCUGUCGAGUAACCUCUGCAAACAGCAGGGUCCUUCGUGACAGAUUGAAACCGAGAAAACCGCUGCCUGUUCUGCAAAACAUAUUUAAUUUGUUAAAGACAUGGGAACUUUGUUGAAUUAAUAAGAUGUGCUAGGGAAGGGAGCUGCUCUCCGAAGAGCUGAAUCCUGGUUACAAGUGCAGUUUGCAGCUUGCUGGUAAUCCUGCAAUUAAAGCUACAGUACCAGCGUAUCACAAAAAUGGGAUUUGCAUAAUUUGAAAUUUGAGGAAAAUCUCUAAAUACUUUAAUUUUGAUAGAAACUGUUUCCACUGCUGACAUGUGUCUACACCUAUAAUUUCGGCUGAUAAAUUGCUGUAAUUUCUCCUCCAUUUCAUGUUCUUUCUAACAUUAAUUGUCAGUUGUAGAGUAAAACAGUAGAAAGAGAGAGAGAGGGAGAGAAUAAUGUCAUUGUGCUUUUGUGGUGUGAAUAGCCUUCCGAGGAAUGAUUAUCUUCCACACAGAUGCAAACAAAAAAAAAAAAAGACACAGAGAGAGAGAGAGAGAGAGAGAGAGAGACCUCUUGGUUUGCACAAAACUACUGCAAUGGGCAUCAGUGUCUCACUGUGAGGUAGGGAAACAAGGAGUUAAAGCCAGGUAAAUGUACAUGGGAGUGAUUGUGGGCAUCUCCCAGGCUGCUGGAAGAAAAAAGGGACGUUCCACGGGGAUGUGGAGCAGCAGAGGAUGUCUGAUGAUGCAUAGCUGGAGGUCCGAGCUGCAGGAUUCCAGGGAUUGAACCCUCAGCCAUCUCCUGUCCCAAGCAAGACCCUCUCAGAGCCAUCAGCAGUGAGGAACUCACCUUGGGUUUUCCAGAAGGAAAACUGAGGGGAAUAAAGGCAAGCAGUGAGUCCCUGCAUGAAGCAGUUUCACAGCAUGACCUGUCCCCAUCCCACCUCCCCAAAUGCCACUUUUCAAGCUACUUUUAAAUAAAACACCCUUUCAAACAGAGGGCUAGUGGUACUAAAUUAUUCUAUUAAUUUAUUAUUCAUGAUGAAAAAUUAUUCUAAUAAACGGUGAAAAAUUAUUCUAAUAACAUUCUAUCCUAUUAAUAUUCUGCAGCCAAGCAGUUAAAGUCACUUCCUGUGGCUGCUCCCCUCCUUAACACUGAUCUAUUUCUUACAGAAUUUAUUGAAAUUAAAAUCUGCUUCUUUGGAAAUGUGCUGCAUUUAACAAAACCAGUGGGGGGAGAUGAGCUGUGAGCAAGGAGAGAAUCAGGCAGCGAUUUUUCCCUUCUGCUGACAGAGCAGUGGGAUGCCUGGUGGGGUGGGAGCUGGGCAGAUCCAAACUGCAGAGUCAGGGAUGGCCAAGCCUGGGUGGUUUGGGUGCUGUCACACUGUAGCCCAUUAACUCACAGCACCCAGUAUUGCUAAUUACUGCUAAUCCAGUGUCUCCCUACAUUUCCCAGUGCAGGGAGACAGCUCCUUGCCCAUUCCUUUCCCUUGGCUGGAGUCCUGCAAGCUCCACUGCUGCACCUCCCUCAGAACCCUGUGGCUGUGUCUCUUCUCACAGCCCUUGUGCAGAAACCUUCCUGAAGCCCAAGGAGCUGCACUGCCAGAGCCUGGACACCACUGCCACGGGAACAAGCGGAGCUUGUAGUCAAAUUAAGGAUGAGGCUGGGGACUCUGCUGUCACCUGGGCCCCAGGGACAGUCCAGGCAGCAUCGUGCCACCCCUCCUCCUGCAGCUUCCUGUGCACUGGCACCACAAGCCUGCCAGGCUUUGUGCCAGGGAUAUUUUCCUAAUGGUUCCUCUGCCUGCUCUGCUCGCAGCCCUCCUUGCCUGCCAGCUGGCUGGGAUGCUCUUGGGCCCCCACAGGCAGCUGGGGAGGUUUCAUGGGCAUGCAGGGCUUGGAGCCUGUGUACAGGUGGCAGAGCAACCCUGGUGCCCAGCACAAAGCCACCAGGAGCCCACUGAUCGCCAGCAGGGACUUUCUGAGUCCCCACUCAGGGCAAAGGGGGAUGUGGGAGGCUGUGAUGGGGGAAUUCCUGGUUCCCAGAGCUUGCAAGUCCACACAGCCAUCAGAGAUAUCCUGAGGAAGUGUCCUACAGGACAUGGCAGGAGGUGUCUCAGGGUUUCUCUUGCAGCUAGAUGCAGCAUCUGAGUGAUUCUGGAGACCAGACAGCAGAUGAGCAGCUGCCACUGGGCACUUCUGAACCUGCCUGACCAGUCACAAGGUGCCUUCUCAUCCAGCUUUGCUCUCCCAGUCAUCCAUACAACUUAGAAAAUAAAAGGUCUAACUUUGCAGAGGAGCAGCACACCCAUGUCUGCGGGUCUGCUGGCCAUAGGUGUUGCUUUCCCUAAAACUUCCCUGGCCAAUCUUGGUUUUGUCUGCACACACCUGCUCCGUGCUAGGGCCAGAUCAUCUUCUGACAUUCUCUUUUUCCCUACUUUUUUCUCAUUGUCUCUACAAGCCUAAUAAUUCCUUGCACAUUUAUAUCAGCUCCUUCCUGCACCUGCCCACCUGGCACAGGUAGUUUUGCCAACCAUGUGGCAAAUUAUGUGCACAGGUCAGUGUUAAAUGUUCCGGUGGCUCAAAGUCCUAAUGAAAAACUAACCUCCAGGUGACGUUAUUGCAGCUUUAACAAGUGGUAAAAGGAUUUCCUCUCAAAGGACUUUCACUGAAGCCAUCUUCUUCUUUGUGUGUUCCUCCCUUGCAGCGUGGGUAAUUAAAGGACCACUCAGAGCUUGGAAGAUUCCUCAGCUUUUGCAUUUGAGGAUAUCUUUCACUCUAUUUUUUCCCUCUUCUCUGAUGGCAUAUUAGAUCAAGCCAUUAAGCAACAUCCUCUGUUUCUCCUGAGAAUAUUCAUCAAUAAUAAUGAAUAGUACUUGCUCCAGGGCUGGCCCCUCCUUGCCCAGGAAUAUUACUGGUACAUGAUACAACCCUAUUGGAAUAACUCUGGCAUUUGUUUUUAUUUCUGAGAUUCAUUUAAAGUGUAAUUUUUUUUCUCUCUGGGAUUGUGGAGGCCCUGCUUUGUUCUGGGUUUGGAAGCUGACAGUUAGGUGAAGCUGAGAGUUUAUCUGAUCCAGUGGGGACAUCAAAGUAAUGCAUGAGAGGAAACUCCUUAAUCCCGACUGACUGUGCCCCUGUACAACUGCCUCACCUUAGUAACACAUGGACCCGGCUGUAUUGAUGCAUUUUCCUUUUUACCCCAGUACAAUAUACUUAUUUAGCAUGAUAGCAGAACAAAAUCAAAGUAUUUUAAACAAAAAUGCUUGACAUUGGGCUAUCUUUCCUAAUCCCAGGCAGCAAUCACAGAGCCAGGCACUGUGCAGCCUGUAAAGCGGCUUCUCGGAGUGCUUGUCCUGCUCCUGCUCAAGAGAGGAUGGAUAAAACCUCAAAAUAAUGAUGCAGUGAGUAAAGGAUUGGAUUCAGGAGAUGAGGACAGUGCUGCAGAAUCAGGAAUAGGAGCACACAUCUAGAACCUCUCUGAGCACUAGAGAUGUUUGUGCUGCUCUUACUUUGUACGCACCAAUCUACUUUGUCCCAGUAAUUAUUUAGAUUCUGUCAGACUCUGAGUGAUGAAAAUCUUGCUUUGCACCUUUCCUGCAUCCUUGCUGCAGAAGAGGUUUCCAAGGAAGCAAAUACAUCAGUUACACAAAGGGAAAUUAUUGCAGACAGUGCCUUAAGCUCCAUUUGCCUCACACUUCUUAUUUCUUCCUUCUCCAAGAAGUUAAUCAAGAGGUUUAGUUAAUGGGUGUGGGUUAAGUCUUUCAGCCAGCCUGGAGCAUGUGCAGCUGCCUGGUGCUGUCCUUCUCCAUCACUGGGAUGGUCCAAGUUACUCAUGGACCUGAGGGCAUGAGGGGUGCAAUCACUGCCUCCACCCCAGCUGAAACCUGUUUGUGCGUUUAAAUAAUAAACUCAUGCUCCUGAUUGCCACUGUGUUUAGUGCAUGAGCUGCUGCCCCCAGCCUCAUUCAAUAACUGGGAUCAGGCACUUUGGGCUCCCUGGGGAUAUUUUAGAUUUCUGUUUUGGCAUGAUUUUUUUGUUUUCUUGGUUUUUUUUUUUUUUUUUUUUGCAAGCACGAUUUUCACUUUUGCAAGGUGAACACUUGUCCCCAGCACGAUUAUCACAGCAGUGAAGGGCACAGCCCUGCUUUGUGCCAGAGACUCCCUGGCUGCUCUUGAGAGCCUCUGCACAUCCCUCCUUGCUGGAGCGCUUUCAUGGUGUUCUUGAUGUGGGGAUGUUUAUCUUCGCUCAGUUCUUACCCAUUGGUGCAUCUCUCAGCUAAAGUGCUUUUCCUCAGAUUGUGAAACCCACUGUAGUCCUGUCUUUGUUAAGAAGAUAAGCUACAGCGGGAAAGCAGCAGCAGCAGCGAGAAAAAAAUUCCUCUAGUGUGUUAUAUCUUUUUCUCCCAAGGAAUAUCACACAACUUGGACAGCUACUGUAAUGCUAAUAGACAAAUCAAAACUCCAAGGAGCGAAAUAGAAACAUCCAACCAUAUUAAAUAAGGGGGGGGUUGUGUGUGUUUGAAAGCUCACAAAAAAAUCUAGAUAUUAAAUUGAUGUCCUGGCACUUGUGCAGUGUAAUGGGCAGAUUCAAUUAAAAGAAGAAAAUAUGUCCAGCCUGUAGUGUGGACUAAGCAGCAAUAAAAAAGCAAAUCAAUUUUUCAGGAGUUUCAAAGCCUGGUGCAGAUUUCCAGAAGGCAGAAGCCAAAAAUAUAUUUAUUAAAAAAGACCCCAGGGGCUCAACAGUGUCAUUUUAACCCAACUACUGCACCUUCAAUAUGAUGAACUGUCACGAAAUUUUGAGAAAUACUUUAGAAAUAAUCCAUUUGUAUGUAUAGAUAUAACAUGUUCUAUAUGUAUAA